rnacentral:rRNA from 1 species
GACAGAGGGUGCAAACGUUGCUCGGAAUUACUGGGUGUAAAGCGCGUGUAGGCUGACCGGAAAGUCGGGCGUGAAAUCCCUGAGCUCAACUCAGGAACUGCACUCGAAACUCUCGGUCUAGAGUGGUGGAGAGGGAAGUGGAAUUCCUGGUGUAGAGGUGAAAUUCGUAGAUAUCCGGAGGAACACCGGUGGCGAAGGCGGCUUCCUGGACCGACACUGACGCUGAGGCGCGAAAGCUAGGGGAGCAAACGGG